rnacentral:tRNA from 1 species
GCGGACGUGCUGAAAUUGGUAGACAGGCAGCGUUGAGGUCGCUGUGAGCGCAAGCUCGUGUGGGUUCAAGUCCCACCGUCCGCACCA